rnacentral:rRNA from 1 species
AUGGCGAGAUGUGUGUGGACUCUGUCUGAUCCAGAAUUAGUUGAGCAUAUGAUGACAACAGCUGAGCCGAAUGCAAGGAAUUGGUUAUUCUCUAUGAUGGGGACAUUAUCACAGGAAGAAUUUACAAGGAUGGUGGUGACAAUCUGGGCCAUAUGGACUGCUCGGCCGAAGUUAAUUCACAAAGGUGAUCACCAAAGUCCAUUGGCUACUCAUACGUUUAUUACGCAUUUCUUAUCCGAUCUUAGAGAUGACAGUACCACCAAGAGUUUCAAGCGAAGCAAGGGUGCAGCGGGUAAAACAGCGAAGGUGGAUCCCCCUUCAUCUGGGAUGAUGAAAAUAAACGUUGACGGAGCAGUCCAAGAUACAACCAAAACCGGGCAAUUAGUGCAGUUUGUCGCAACAUUCAUGGACAACACCAGCAAAUGA